CGUUUAGCUUCACCAGGUCCUGGUUCCCGGGAGGAGAGAGCGGACGGCUAGAGGAACCUGCACCGAAGCCUCGCUCCAGACUCCGAGCCUCCAGCCAGCACCCAAUGGAUGACAAGAAGAAGAAGAGGAGCCCCAAGCCUUGCCUGACCCAACCAGCCCAGGCCCCAGGCACAUUACGCAGGGUCCCUGUGCCCACCAGCCACAGUGGCUCCUUGGCCCUGGGACUCCCUCACCUGCCAUCUCCCAAGCAGCGGGCCAAAUUCAAGAGGGUAGGCAAGGAGAAAUGCCGCCCAGUGCUGGCCGGAGGUGGGGGUGGCUCGGCAGGCACCCCCCUGCAGCACUCUUUCCUGACUGAGGUGACCGACGUCUAUGAGAUGGAGGGGGGACUGCUGAACCUGCUGAAUGAUUUUCACUCCGGCCGGCUGCAAGCCUUUGGGAAGGAAUGCUCCUUUGAGCAGCUGGAGCACGUGCGGGAGAUGCAGGAGAAGCUGGCCCGGCUGCACUUCAGCCUGGAUGUGUGUGGGGAGGAGGAAGAAGAGGAGGAAGAGGAUGGAGUCACUGAGGGGCUGCCUGAGGAGCAGAAGAAGACCAUGGCUGACCGAAACCUGGACCAGCUGCUUAGCAAUUCCAGUCUAAUCUUUGUCUGCAGAGUUGCCUGGUGCCCCUCUUGACAGAAACCUCCCUUUCUCUCUGUUGACAGCUGGAAGAUCUUAGCAAUUCCAUACAGAAGUUGCACCUGGCUGAAAACACCGAGCCUGAGGAGCAGUCAGCUGUGUAGGCGUGGGACCCGGGCACAGACUGCCCCUUUUCAUUCCCUUCAAACUGUGACUUUUCACGGGACUCGG